GUGCUUACUUCAGCAGCACAUAUACUAUAAGUGGAAUAAUACAGAGAUGAUUAGCAUGGCCCCUGCACAAGGGUGACACACAAACUCCUGAAGCAUUCCAUAUUUUU
rnacentral:snRNA from 3 species